GGGCUCUGCGCGCGUGUUUGUGUGUGUGUGUGUGUGUGUGUGUGUGUGUGUGUGUGUUUCCAGCAUGUGCGUGCACACGUACUCCAUCACUCA
rnacentral:miRNA from 1 species